GACGAACGCUGGCGGCGUGCUUAACACAUGCAAGUCGAACGGAAAGGCCCUGCUUUUGUGGGGUGCUCGAGUGGCGAACGGGUGAGUAACACGUGAGUAACCUGCCCUUGACUUUGGGAUAACUUCAGGAAACUGGGGCUAAUACCGGAUAGGAGCUCCUGCUGCAUGGUGGGGGUUGGAAAGUUUCGGCGGUUGGGGAUGGACUCGCGGCUUAUCAGCUUGUUGGUGGGGUAGUGGCUUACCAAGGCUUUGACGGGUAGCCGGCCUGAGAGGGUGACCGGCCACAUUGGGACUGGGAUACGGCCCAGACUCAUACGGGAGGCAGCAGUGGGGAAUAUUGCACAAUGGGCGGAAGCCUGAUGCAGCAACGCCGCGUGCGGGAUGACGGCCUUCGGGUUGUAAACCGCUUUCGCCUGUGACGAAGCGUGAGUGACGGUAAUGGGGAAAGAAGCACCGGCUAACUACGU
rnacentral:rRNA from 1 species